GACGAACGCUGGCGGCGUGCCUAAUACAUGCAAGUCGAACGCAGUGGGGACGGGUGAGUAACACGUGGGUAACCUCCCAUCAGAGGGGAUAACACUUGGAAACAGGUGCUAAACCGAUAUUGGUGGAUGGACCCGGGGUGCAUUAGCUAGUUGGGGAGGUAACGGCUCACCAAGGCCACGAUGCAUAGCCGGCCUGAGAGGGUGAUCGGCCACACUGGAACUGAGACACGGCCCAGACUCCUACGGGAGGCAGCAGUGGGGAAUCUUCGGCAAUGGGCGAAAGUCUGACCGAGCAAUGCCGCGUGAGUGAAGAAGGUUUUCGGAUCGUAAAGCUCUGUUGGUAGGGAAGCGGUAUCUAAAGAGAAAGCAACGGCUAACUACGUGCCAGCAGCCGCGGUAAUUC
rnacentral:rRNA from 1 species